GAUAGCUACAGUCAAAGAGCGUGUAUUGCUAUAAAUGCCGUAUAUAAAUACACAAAUCACACAAGGUUAGGCUCUUACUUGUCAAACGUCAUGUUUGAACCAACAAAGUAAUUAAAUACUCGAUCUCUCGAUUCCUGCAUGUUUAUUACUGCUCCACUUGGUGUUGUCAGAAUUGACGUAACUCCAAACUGAACUAGAGUAGGGUCAGUGCAUAACAUCCAUCACCACUGCGAGGCAGUUCGUAAAUUUACUUCAACCAGAAAUUCCGCCUUUCAGUUUCACCGGUUCUGCCUCCUUCACGAGAGAAUUCGCAGAAUACAUUCACCAAGCGACGAAGAAGGCCAAUGACGAUAAUUCUUGGAUCAUAAUUCCAUUUGAGUCGGAAAAGAUUCGUGACGGAGAACGGGACACCGCAAUUGCGGGGCUGACGGCGAUGUUCGAGGAACGAGGAGGGAAUUUCCUGUUGUUCCUGCUUCAUUCCUGCGAACGAAGGGGAUUUAAUUAGUCGAAAAGCUAGCUACCAGUGUCACGUGCAUUCGAACGUACGUUGAUACCGUGUCGCUAGGACGACACUAAAAGCGAGAAACGAACGAAAUGAGGAAUAAAGAUGUGACGAUAGAAAUACUGCGUUUGAGAAAAGAGAGAGAGAGAAAGGUAAAGGAUGGGAUAGGAGAAACAAAGGUACGCGAAAAAAAUUGCAGAUUUAGA
rnacentral:misc_RNA from 1 species